rnacentral:rRNA from 1 species
CACGUAGGGGGCGAGCGUUGUCCGGAAUCAUUGGGCGUAAAGAGCUCGUAGGCGGCUCAGUAAGUCGGGUGUGAAACCCUCAGGCUCAACCUGGGGACGCCACUCGAUACUGCUGUGGCUAGAGUCCAGUAGAGGAGUGUGGAAUUCCCGGUGUAGCGGUGAAAUGCGCAGAUAUCAGGAGGAACACCGGUGGCGAAGGCGGGUCUCUGGGCAGUAACUGACGCUGAGGAGCGAAAGCGUGGGUAGCAAACAGG